GAUGAACGCUGGCGGCGUGCCUAAUACAUGCAGGUCGAGCGAACGGACGAGAAGCUUGCUUCUCUGAUGUUAGCGGCGGACGGGUGAGUAACACGUGGAUAACCUACCUAUAAGACUGGGAUAACUUCGGGAAACCGGAGCUAAUACCGGAUGAUAUUUUGAACCGCAUGGUUCAAAAGUGAAAGACGGUCUUGCUGUCACUUAUAGAUGGAUCCGCGCUGCAUUAGCUAGUUGGUAAGGUAACGGCUUACCAAGGCAACGAUGCAUAGCCGACCUGAGAGGGUGAUCGGCCACACUGGAACUGAGACACGGUCCAGACUCCUACGGGAGGCAGCAGUAGGGAAUCUUCCGCAAUGGGCGGAAGCCUGACGGAGCAACGCCGCGUGAGUGAUGAAGGUCUUCGGAUCGUAAAACUCUGUUAUUAGGGAAGAACAUAUGUGUAAGUAACUGUGCACAUCUUGACGGUACCUAAUCAGAAAGCCACGGCUAACUACGUG
rnacentral:rRNA from 1 species